AAGAGGGACUCAGAUCACCUGGAAUUAUGGCAAUGUCUUGCAAGGAUACUUCUGAAAAUCGGGUGUCACGGGAAGCUGAACUUUGCAUCCCAGUUCUGAAACAUACAGCAACCUCAUGGAGACAGAUGCAUCACUCGGCAUUUUGGGGCGGUAGCGAGUUCAGUGACCUGCCAGAUUUCUUAGCAUUAACUUGAAAGAGAAGACACUUAUUUGAUUUGAUUUGAUUUCUACUAGUCAAGUGGGCACCUGGAUUAAGCAGACUCUCCCCCAGGCACCCCGGAGGCCUCUGACAUCCCUUAUGUCCAGCCCAGACAUGGCCUUUCUGUGGCCUCAGCGUAUCUGCCCAGUCCAAUCGGCUAUAGCCAGAAUAAAAAGGGAGGAAGAUCCAAGAGAGGGAAGGAGGCUUUCCCAGCUACUUUCCUGCUAACCAGGGCAGAGGCUGGUCUACAUCCCCCUAUCCAGGUGGCCCCUGCAGUCAUGGCUUUUCUGCUUCUAGAAGCCAUCCCUGAGAACAUCAUUGCAGAACUCAAAAUACAUUGCAUCAUACAAAAUGAAGUGGAGAAUUAAGGUAAUUAUCCAAUUAUUAAAAACCAUUUCUUAUUCGUUAGCUAAA
rnacentral:lncRNA from 1 species